AUCUACCUAGUAGUACGGAAUAGCCAUUAGAAAUGGUGGGUAAUACUGUAUAAUCCCCGAGGGGGAAAGAUUUAUCGCUAUUAGAUGAGCCUACGUUAGAUUAGCUAGUUGGUGAGGUAAUGGCUUACCAAGGCUAUGAUCUAUAGCUGGUCUGAGAGGACGAUCAGCCACACUGGAACUGAGAUACGGUCCAGACUCCUACGGGAGGCAGCAGUGGGGAAUAUUGGACAAUGGGCGAAAGCCUGAUCCAGCUAUGCCGCGUGAGUGAAGA
rnacentral:rRNA from 1 species